GACGUAGGGUGCAAGCGUUGUCCGGAUUUACUGGGCGUAAAGCGCGCGUAGGCGGCUCGUUAAGUGUGACGUGAAAUCCCUGGGCUCAACUCAGGAACUGCUUUACAUACUGGCGAGCUUGAGGGAUGCAGAGGUCUGUGGAAUUCCUGGUGUAACGGUGAAAUGUGUUGAUAUCAGGAGGAACACCCAUGGCGAAGGCAGCAGACUGGGCAUCGCCUGACGCUGAGGUGCGAAAGCGUGGGUAGCAAACAGG
rnacentral:rRNA from 1 species